rnacentral:piRNA from 1 species
GGAUACCUGCAGGCAGAACACUA